AGAGUUUGAUCCUGGCUCAGGAUGAACGCUAGCUACAGGCUUAACACAUGCAAGUCGAGGGGAAACGACAUCGAAAGCUUGCUUUUGAUGGGCGUCGACCGGCGCACGGGUGAGUAACGCGUAUCCAACCUGCCCACCACUUGGGGAUAACCUUGCGAAAGUAAGGCUAAUACCCAAUGACGUCUCUAGAAGACAUCUGAAAAGAGAUUAAAGAUUUAUCGGUGAUGGAUGGGGAUGCGUCUGAUUAGCUUGUUGGCGGGGUAACGGCCACAAGGCGACGAUCAGUAGGGGUUCUGAGAGGAAGGUCCCCCACAUUGGAACUGAGACCACGGUCCAAACUCCUACGGGAGCA
rnacentral:rRNA from 1 species